rnacentral:rRNA from 1 species
UACAGAGGUCUCAAGCGUUGUUCGGAUUCACUGGGUUUAAAGGGUGCGUAGGCGGGUAUAUAAGUCAGUGGUGAAAGCUCCGGGCUUAACUUGGAAACUGCCAUUGAUACUGUAUAUCUUGAAUGUCGUAGAGGUUAGCGGAAUGUUGCAUGUAGCGGUGAAAUGCUUAGAUAUGUUACAGAACACCAAUUGCGAAGGCAGCUAACUAUGCGAUGAUUGACGCUGAGGCACGAAAGCGUGGGGAGCAAACAGG